UCGGGCGGCUGAGGGUUAACUCAAUAGACACGGCUAAGCAUGUAGUACCGACAGUGGAGAACUGGCGGACGGGGGUUCAAAUCCCCCCGGCUCCACCA
rnacentral:tmRNA from 1 species